CUUAUAUAUAUAUCAAUACCACAAUUACUUUAAUAAGCCAAUGACGAAUACGUUUACCAGGCGUACAGAUUAACCACCUAAUGUCGCGGAAAAAGUACUUUUAUGCGAAAACAGUAUUGGCGAACUGAAGCAUUUGGCUUUAGGCGCCUGAUAUUAAAAGCAAGAGCGAAAGAAGUUGGGCGUCCAAAUCGGCGGACUCGUUUUACACUCAAGAGAACCAUUCGAAGAGGGGACAGAUUGUAAAGACAUUUAUCGGAUCUUCAUAACAAAAGGUGAAUUUGAAACAUGCCGACUGACAAGCAACCAUUUAAAUGCACAGUUCUAAUAUGAUUGAAAGUGCCAUAGUUUUUGUUUUUGCACGGUCUACUCCAUGCUUGCUUUUGAUAGAAAAUUUUCCUUUCUUAGUUUUUAUUUAUUGCCAAUAUUAUUGUGUAUUUUUGUUCUCUUUCGUGGCUGGGGAGUCGGAAAAAUAUACCAUCCGAUUCCCGGUUAUUCGAACUAUCUUAUCCACGGAAUCUAAAUCGCAUCCGGCAUUCAUGAUAACCAAAUUGCGUUUUCCAGUCCCUUCACUUUUUGUUGCAAUUGUGAAUGCGUGAGCUCUCGUGUGGUUGUAGAGUUUUGCGAAUCAUUCCAUCGGGGCAUUCAGAGGACCGACGGCAAAUGCAAUUUUACAGCAAAUUGAAUUUGGCCUCUGGAACUUCCGUUAAACAAAACAGUUUGAUAACAGACGCUGUAGUUUUCUGGAUCCGACGAAUUGUAGACUUUUUCUCGCAGUCCCGAUGUUUAGGCAUUUAUUCAUUGAUUAUCUAAGUCUAUUCAGUGGGCUGGUGAAAUAGGUAGGAGUAAAGCAUGGUUGUCAGAGUUGAAUCGUGGGUUCAUAGGAACAAACAACGUGAGUUGUUUCUUCAAAUAUCAUUGAUCAACGCAUGUUAUUACAUUGCAGCGGCCGGGCAGAUCAAGGAUUGUAAGUAAUUCCCGUCUUAAAAGGUGGCAAUGCAGAACGGUUGUGGAAUUAUUGUCAAAUAGGCUAGUAGUCACUUAUCCCAGUAAAGUUCGCCGUUUUUGAAGCAAGCAAGGAACAUGUCCCAUUAUAGAGCGGUGAUUACAUUAAUUCCAAGAUUAAUUUUUGCGGUUUCACGGCGAAAUUGGAACUACUUGGCCAGGUAUUUAAUUAAUCGUAACCGUUGUACGUACGUUCUUAUGUAUCGUAAAUAUUGCUUUCCUUAAUAUUCCCUUGCUAAAGGUUUCCCUCAAGAACAACCCACCUUUAGGAUUCUCUUCCCUCUAGUUAUUUCCGCGCCCUAAAUAUUGUAUAGUUUAUAUAUAUUAUCCUCCCCAUAUAUACUAGCUUGACGAUCAUAUCUCAUGUUUCCAUAAAGAAGUGGUUUUGCCGAGAAUAUUGAUAGUCUGGUAAGAUUUGUUUGUUUUAAAAACGGUGAGACUCAUUGGUCUAUAAUUCCGCGACCGUUCUGCAUUGCCACAUUUGAAGUUGAAUUAGUUCGUACAAUCUCUGCAUGGCCGCCGCAAUGUGAGAGCAUGCGUUUAUCAUCAAUGAUACUUUGAACAACUAACGUGGUUUGAUCGUAUGAACUCUCGGUUUAACUCUAACUGAGUUACUGACAACUAUGUUUUUCACCUGCACCUAUUUCACCAGUCCACUUAAUGGGUCAGAUAACCAAGUCAUGAAUGUCCAAAAACCGGGGCUGCGUAAACGGGAAAAAGUUUUCGACUCUUUGGACGAAAGUUCAGCGUCCUUGAUCAAAUUGGUUUAAAAGGAGUUCCCGAAGCAAAUUUAGUUUGCUAUGAAAUUGCAUCUGCCGCCGUUAUUCUGAAUGACCAGGAGCGUGGUGGAAUGAUUCGCAGAACUCAAAAACCACAUUGGAGAAAACUCAUUUGCAAUUGUUAGCACAGAGUUGAGGGCUGAAAAACGCAAUUGGGUUGUCGCGAAUUCCGGACUCGCAUUAGAUUUUCUGUGGGUAAGAUGGUUCAAAUGAUCAGAAAUCUGAUGGUUUAUUUUAAAUACAAAAAUACACACUACGAAUACAAAAAUACACACUAAAAAUUGGCAACGGUACACAUUCACCUAGAAUCUAGACGUACGUUAAAAAGUCUACAGGCAAAGCGUAGGAUUUUUGUUUUAAUUUAAAAUUCCGGUGGACCACAACCGGAU